rnacentral:misc_RNA from 1 species
GUGAACAUCCAACAAAUGCUCCUACAUAUUCGACAAUUAACAUGUAAGCUUUAACAGCAGUAUCAUAAGCUGAAAUGAGAUCCAUUUCAAAAGAGAGGAAAGAUUUAGGUGAGCCGCCAAUGUUAAUAAGAGGAAGGAAAAAACAAAAGCCAAAAAAGAAUGUAUAAGGUUUUAUGUUCUUUCCAUAAAAUGCCAACAGAACACGUAAUAUACUCGUGACUGAAAUUAAAAACAAAAGACUAUACUCGAGUUUAAUAUCAUUACAUCCUGAAAUAUAAAAAAAAAGUCCCUGUUUUAACUAACAAAAUAUUAACCGAGAAGUUACAAAUAUUAGUAAUAUGCCCUAAAGCAUAACAUGAAAUUGUAUUUUAUAUUUAUUCCCGUUUUAAUGGCAUAUAUCUUUUUCCUUUAAAUUUAAAUGGUUUAAAUUUAAUUGAAAAUAUCUUUUAGUAACUUGUCAAAUGUUUCAUUCUUAAAGUGUUAAGAAU